rnacentral:rRNA from 1 species
GCGAAUGGUGGAUGCCUUGACUGGUAAAGGCGAUGAAGGACGUACUAGACUGCGAUAAGCUACGGGGAGCUGUCAAGAAGCUUUGAUCCGUAGAUUUCCGAAUGGGGCAACCCAAUGUAUAGAGAUAUACAUUACCUAUAUAGGAGCGAACGAGGGGAAUUGAAACAUCUUAGUACCCUCAGGAAAAGAAAUCAAUAGAGAUUGCGUCAGUAGCGGCGAGCGAAAGCGCAAGAGGGCAAACCCAGUGCUUGCACUGGGGGUUGUAGGACUGCAAUGUGCAAGAGGUAAGUUUAGCAGAACAUUCUGGAAAGUAUAACCAUAGAGGGUGAUAGUCCCGUAUGCGAAAAACAAACCUUAGCUAGCAGUAUCCUGAGUAGGGCGGGACACGAGGAAUCCUGUCUGAAUCCGGGUCGACCACGAUCCAACCCUAAAUACUAAUACCAGAUCGAUAGUGCACAAGUACCGUGAGGGAAAGGUGAAAAGAACUGAGGUGAUCAGAGUGAAAUAGAACCUGAAACCAUUUGCUUACAAUCAUUCAGAGCCCUAUGUAGCAAUACAGGGUGAUGGACUGCCUUUUGCAUAAUGAGCCUGCGAGUUGUGGUGUCUGGCAAGGUUAAGCAAACGCGAAGCCGUAGCGAAAGCGAGUCUGAAUAGGGCGCUUAGUCAGAUGCUGCAGACCCGAAACGAAGUGAUCUAUCCAUGAGCAAGUUGAAGCUAGUGUAAGAACUAGUGGAGGACUGAACCCAUAGGCGUUGAAAAGCCCCGGGAUGACUUGUGGAUAGGGGUGAAAGGCCAAUCAAACUUCGUGAUAGCUGGUUCUCUCCGAAAUAUAUUUAGGUAUAGCGUUGUGUCGUAAUAUAAGGGGGUAGAGCACUGAAUGGGCUAGGGCAUACACCAAUGUACCAAACCCUAUCAAACUCCGAAUACCUUAUAUGUAAUCACAGCAGUCAGGCGGCGAGUGAUAAAAUCCGUCGUCAAGAGGGAAACAACCCAG